AGAGUUUGAUCCUGGCUCAGGAUGAACGCUGGCGGCGUGCUUAACACAUGCAAGUCGAACGGGCGGAGGGAGCUUGCUCCCGAAGCUAGUGGCGGACGGGUGAGUAACGCGUGGGUAACCUGCCUCAUACAGGGGGAUAACAGUGAGAAAUCACUGCUAAUACCGCAUAUGCGCACAGUACCGCAUGGUACAGUGUGGAAAACUCCGGUGGUAUGAGAUGGACCCGCGUUGGAUUAGCUAGUUGGUGAGGUAGUGGCUCACCAAGGCGACGAUCCAUAGCCGGCCUGAGAGGGUGGACGGCCACAUUGGGACUGAGACACGGCCCAGACUCCUACGGGAGGCAGCAGUGGGGAAUAUUGCACAAUGGGGGAAACCCUGAUGCAGCGAUGCCGCGUGGAGGAAGAAGGUUUUCGGAUUGUAAACUCCUGUCUUAAAGGACGAUAAUGACGGUACUUUAGGAGGAAGCUCCGGCUAACUACGUGCCAGCAGCCGCGGUAAUACGUAGGGGGCAAGCGUUAUCCGGAUUUACUGGGUGUAAAGGGAGCGUAGACGGCAAGGCAAGUCUGAUGUGAAAUACCGGGGCUCAACCCCGGGACUGCAUUGGAAACUGUUUAGCUAGAGUGCAGGAGAGGUAAGUGGAAUUCCUAGUGUAGCGGUGAAAUGCGUAGAUAUUAGGAGGAACACCAGUGGCGAAGGCGGCUUACUGGACUGUAACUGACGUUGAGGCUCGAAAGCGUGGGGAGCAAACAAGAUUAGAUACCCUGGUAGUCCACGCCGUAAACGAUGAUUACUAGGUGUUGGGGAUUUAUAAAUCCCUCGGUGCCGCCGCUAACGCAAU
rnacentral:rRNA from 1 species